CCUAGGAGGCAGCAGAGAGGAAGAUGGGUCAAGGGGAGAGAGCCUGAACCAGCAAAGGAGCGAGAGGGAGGAUGGGUCUAUGGGUUGUAAACCUCUUUUGUCGGGGAGCAAAAGCCGGACGUGUCCGGCUGUGAGAGUACCCGAAGAAAAAGCAUCGGCUAACUCCGUGCCAGCAGCCGCGGUAAUACGGAGGAUGCGAGCGUUAUCCGGAUUUAUUGGGUUUAAAGGGUGCGCAGGCGGAUUUUUAAGUCAGCGGUCAAAUCGUGGGGCUCAACCCCAUCCAGCCGUUGAAACUGGGGAUCUAGAGUGUGCGAGAGGUAUGCGGAAUGCGUGGUGUAGCGGUGAAAUGCAUAGAUAUCACGCAGAACCCCGAUUGCGAAGGCAGCAUACCGGUGCACAACUGACGCUCAGGCACGAAAGCGUGGGUAUCGAACAGGAUUAGAUACCCCAGUAGUC
rnacentral:rRNA from 1 species